UACGUAGGGCGCAAGCGUUAUCCGGAAUUAUUGGGCGUAAAGAGCUCGUAGGCGGUUUGUCGCGUCUGCCGUGAAAGUCCGGGGCUCAACUCCGGAUCUGCGGUGGGUACGGGCAGACUAGAGUGAUGUAGGGGGAGACUGGAAUUCCUGGUGUAGCGGUGAAAAUGCGCAGAUAUCAGGAGGAACACCGAUGGCGAAGGCAGGUCUCUGGGCAUUAACUGACGCUGAGGAGCGAAAGCAUGGGGAGCGAACAGG
rnacentral:rRNA from 1 species